AGGUUGGUCAUGCCUCUGGUAUGUACUGGUCUCACUAAUUCCUCCUUCCUGAUGAACCGUAAUGCCAUUAAUUUGGUGUUGCGGGGAAUUUGGACUGUUACUUUGAAAAAAUUAGAGUGUUUAAAGCAAGCUAACGCUUGAAUACAUUAGCAUGGAAUAAUGAAAUAGGACGCUCGAUCCUAUUUUGUUGGUUUCUAGGAUUGACGUAAUGAUUAAUAGGGAUAUUGGGGGCAUUAGUAUUCAAUUGUCAGAGGUGAAAUUCUUGGAUUUAUUGAAGACUAACUACUGCGAAAGCAUUUGCCAAGGAUGUUUUCAUUAAUCAAGAACGAAAGUUAGGGGAUCGAAGACGAUCAGAUACCGUCGUAGUCUUAACCAUAAACUAUGCCGACUAGGGAUCGGAUGAUGUUAAUUUUUUAAUGACUCAUUCGGCGCCUUAGGGAAAC
rnacentral:rRNA from 2 species